UACCCUUCACUCUCAUGAAGCUUGAAUUCUGGAGGAAGAAACAUCCAACAAACAAGUAAAAUAAUACAUAGAAUUCUGUACAUUGCUAUAAGGAAACAAUAGGGUACUAUGAAAAAGUGAGAGAAAAUUGUUGGUUGUUCUAUAAUGCUGUCCAGGUGAUUUUAUCUAGUCCAUCCAACCUCCAGUUUAUGGAUGCCUGAAUAAGCCCAGCCAAGAUCAGUGGAGCCAUUUCAGCCAACCUACAGACAUGCAACUAUGGAUUUGCACGGUCUGGAUCUCCCUCCAGAAAAAUCUGCUGCAGAGAGCAUAGUUGAUUGAGUUUCCAGAACACCUGUGUUCCUCCCUAGCAGCCACACCAACGCCAUGCUUUCCCUAGGCUGCUGCCAGCAAUAAUGAAGAGUGGUGGCCUACUAGAGCCAGCUCAUUUCUGUCUGACAUUGAACUCCUUCAAGGAAAGGUUUUCUGAAGACUCCUCAUGAUCCUAGCCUAGAUUUUCAAUUACACUUCAAUCUGAA